rnacentral:RNase_P_RNA from 1 species
GUCCGACAAUCCCGCAUUUGGGGGUUACAUUCGAGGCACUUGUUGCUUGUUUUAGGUACUCCCGGGAAGGUCUGAGACAAAGCUUUGCUCUUGUUGUGGAGCAAUACGUUCUAGCCGGGCGGCCUUUUCAUGAAGGUGCAGGGGAAUAGAAAGAAUAUCGACUGUGAUGUCACUAGGCCCAUGAUAUCCGGGACAACGGAUUAGGCGUAGACGUUGACGUACGAUUGGAAUUGCUUCUGUGGCUUGCUUUUCGAGUAUAAUGUGCGGGUUGCUUUUGUUUGACUGCAAAACUCAAUUCAGACUAAUCUGUCGAGGGC